rnacentral:rRNA from 1 species
CCAUUAGUUGCUAACGGGUUAUGCCGAGAACUCUAAUGAGACUGCCUUCGUAAGGAGGAGGAAGGUGGGGACGACGUCAAGUCAUCAUGGCCCUUAUGCCUGGGGCGACACACGUGCUACAAUGGUAUGUACAGAGAGACGCAAUACGGCGACGUGGAGCAAAUCUCUAAAACAUAUCUCAGUUCGGAUUGUAGUCUGCAACUCGACUACAUGAAGCUGGAAUCGCUAGUAAUCGCGGAUCAGCCAUGCCGCGGUGAAUACGUUCCCGGGUCUU